rnacentral:lncRNA from 1 species
GUUCCAGAAUCCAGGAGACUUGAUGGGGAGGGUGGGAGGAGGGAUGACAGCAGGAACAGACUACUGAAUCGAUAGAGGGAUGGAGUGGGGAAGGAGAGAGAUGCAGAGAUAGAGAGGAGAAAGACAGGCUGAUUGGCACAGACGCAGCUAGAAAGAGAAUGAAGUGCAUGAAGAUGGAGAUGCAGAAGAUGGAGACACAUAUGGUCACAGAGUGAGAAGGACAGAGAGAAGAGACUGACGGAAAUCGUGGAGCUUUGGGACAGAAGGACAGCCAGAGAGGCCCGACACCGGUCUGUGAAUGAAUCUCGGAACUGACCAGCUCACCCAAUCAAUGUGUGAACAGCUCGGGGCCUCCUGGGCUCCCAUGUGUCCACUUCUGCUUGGAGUCGUCCAGUGAGGGCAAGGAGCUCCUGGGGCAGUCAAGGAGCCAGAAUUAACCCUCUCACUGCUUCUACCUCUUCUUCCUUGGUCUGCCCUCUGGGAUAAAGCACAGUGGCUCUAGUCCUUUGGGAUUCUCCUCAACAAAGGGGGACUUUUGGGGUUUCAGGAAAAAGCAAUCCCAUCCCGAUUGAAUUCCUAUCCUCGGACUCUCAUACCCAAGAAAACGCUUAAGCCACCGCCCGGCCUCCUCCAACAGCGUCUUUCUCUUUCUGUCUGUUUGACCUCACUGGGAAUGUUGAAGCAAACAAGGCAAAAGAGGAUAGAGGAUAGAUGGUGCCAAUUUGGUGUUUACUGAGGCAAUGGGCUUCAGAGGUGGGUACCUCUCCCUCUGAAGGUGUCUGACUCCUGGCACUGAUUUUUCUUGUCCAAUUGCUCUGGUUGGCGUUUGUAGCUCUCCAUCUAUAUGGCUAACUCCAGCUCCUAUGCCCUUCCCUGACCCCCUUGCCCCUAGACCUCCUGCAGGCAAGUCACCACACCCUGUAUACCCCUUCCCUGGCCCCCUAGAGCCCCUGCAGUCAAGUUACUGAAGAACCAGUGACCACACCCUGGAAUGUGCUAGGAACUGAUAAGGACCCCAGCCCCAGGAAUUCCUGUGCACUCCCUCUACCACAAAAGUGUAUAAAAAGCCUGAAAGCCCCAGACUCAGGGACAGCCAAUUUUUAGGGCUGAGCCCCAUACAGCAGUUUGGUUAAUAAAACUCCCU